GACGAACGCUGGCGGCGUGCUUAACACAUGCAAGUCGAACGAUGGUCAGGAGCUUGCUCCUGUGAUUAGUGGCGAACGGGUGAGUAACACGUGAGUAACCUGCCCCUGACUCUGGGAUAAGCGUUGGAAACGACGUCUAAUACUGGAUAUGAUCACUGGCCGCAUGGUCUGGUGGUGGAAAGAUUUUUUGGUUGGGGAUGGACUCGCGGCCUAUCAGCUUGUUGGUGAGGUAAUGGCUCACCAAGGCGACGACGGGUAGCCGGCCUGAGAGGGGGACCGGCAACAAUGGGACUGAGACACGGACCAGACUCCUACGGGAGGCAGCAGUGGGGAAUAUUGCACAAUGGGCGAAAGCCUGAUGCAGCAACGCCGCGUGGGGGAUGACGGCCUUCGGGUUGUAAACCUCUUUUCGUAGGGAAGAAGCGAAAGUGACGGUACCUGCAGAAAAAGCACCGGCUAACUACGUGCCAGCAGCCGCCGUAA
rnacentral:rRNA from 1 species